rnacentral:rRNA from 1 species
CCUACGGGGGGCAGCAGUGAGGAAUAUUGGUCAAUGGACGAGAGUCUGAACCAGCCAAGUAGCGUGAAGGAUGACUGCCCUCUGGGUUGUAAACUUCUUUUAUAAAGGAAUAAAACGAGGCACGUGUGCCUUUUUGCAUGUACUUUAUGAAUAAGGAUCGGCUCACUCCGUGCCAGCAGCCGCGGUAAUACGGAGGAUCCGAGCGUUAUCCGGAUUUAUUGGGUUUAAAGGGAGCGUAGAUGGGUUGUUAAGUCAGUUGUGAAAGUUUGCGGCUCAACCGUAAAAGUGCAAUUGAUACUGGCAGUCGUGAGUACAGUUGAGGUAGGCGGAAUUCGUGGUGUAGCGGUGAAAUGCUUAGAUAUCACGAAGAACCCCGAUUGCGAAGGCAGCUUACUAAACUGUGACUGACAUUGAUGCUCGAAAGUGUGGGUAUCAAACAGGAUUAGAUACCCCAGUAGUC